rnacentral:rRNA from 1 species
CACGGGGGUUGCGAGCGUUGUCCGGAAUUACUAGGCGUAAAGGGCAGGCAGGCGGAUCCAUAAGUUUAUCGUUUAAGGCGUCGGCUUAACCGGCGUAGGGCGGUAGAUACUGUGGAUCUGGAAUGCGGUUGGGGAAGACAGAAUUCCUGAUGUAGCGGUGGAAUGCGCAGAGAUCAGGAGGAAUACCGAAGGCGAAGGCAGUCUUCCAAGCCGUUAUUGACGCUCAACUGCGAAGGUGUGGGUAUCAAACAGGAUUAGAUACCCGGGUAGUCCCUGAG